rnacentral:rRNA from 1 species
UACAGAGGGGGCAAGCGUUGUUCGGAAUUACUGGGCGUAAAGGGCGCGUAGGCGGCCCGCUAAGUCGAACGUGAAAUCCCCAGGCUCAACCUGGGAACUGCGUCUGAUACUGGCGAGCUUGAGUGCAGGAGAGGAACGCGGAAUUCCAGGUGUAGCGGUGAAAUGCGUAGAUAUCUGGAGGAAUACCGGUGGCGAAGGCGGCAUCCUGGACCGACAUUGACGCUGAGGAGCGAAAGCUAGGGGAGCAAACGGG